UUUGCAUGGAUAAAAAAAAGAGCAAAUUCUUCAACCCCACAAAACUUGCCAAACGGUAAUAGCUCGAGGUGUAUUUAAAAAUUGGAGGCAAGUUGUGUAUGCCGAUUUCGACAAGCCUAUGACGAAAGAAAUUCUCUUUGACAUAAUAGAGCAAUUGCAAGAAAGCGGCUACACAGUUGUUGCCAUGAUCUCAGAUGCACACGCCAGUAACACGAAGUUAUGGAGUCACCUGGGUGUAGGCCAGAAAUCACAUUCUGGAUUCCUUUUUUUGAAUUUAAUGGUGAAAAAACGGACAGAAAAUAUCUUAAUUAUUAGAAGUAAAUAGCGGUGAUUUGAAAUGAGCCUUCUCUUUAACAGCGGAACAUCUUCAGUGCAAAAUGAAUGCGCCUCAAAAGGUAAAGCUCGCAACGCAAAUCUUUUCGAAUAAGAACUCAAAAGCACUGAUAUUCUGUUUAAGACAACUGCAGCUGGGAAAUGAAAAUUUCAAAGAUUUUAAGGGUUGCACGUUCCACAAUGCUCCCAUUUCAAAGAGGAAUUCACCUCACCUCUCUCGCUUUGCUAAGUUUAUUCCAACACUUGCAGGAAGCGUUUCGCAUUGGAAAUAUUAAAUAUAUUCUCACCAAUCGGCUGAAUCAAGACGUGUUAGAAAACUUUUUUUCUUUCAUUUGUGGCGUGGGAAGAGGCCACGAUCAUCUAACUUCCCUGGAAUUGAAACACCGUUUACGGUGGUACAUUUUAGGAAGACACGCCAUGGAGGUGCUUUCAAGUGGUUGCAACAAUGAAAAAGACUUUAAUGAAAAGUCUUUUCAAUGCGUCCGACCUAGAAAAAGUCAAUGCUGUAAAAAUGAGUACUUCCUCUAUUACAACGGACUUAGUCAAGGAAGAUACGAUUCUCGUCAACGCCUCAGAUUUGUACGAAGAUGCUGAUGUACGUGCUGAAGACUUUGCAACUUCACAGCUUCAUACGGACAUCGUGGACAUAACCAAGGAGGAUAUUAUUGAAGGUAGAGAAGAAACUAUCCGAUUAGAAGAGUUAUGCUAAACCCUUUUAGUCAAUGAGAACGAGAUUGAAGACGAAACUCUGGUCAGUCUUUCGGAUGAAUUUAAAACGAAAGAGGGAGAGGAGGAUGACAAAAUGGAAGAUGCGGUGAUUACAGCGGCGCAGAACGUUUUAACGUCAGACGCUUCCGCAUGUUCCCUGCCCGAAACCAACAUUAUAUUAUGCGGCAUCUCUAGAAAAACAUAUUGCCAUGAAUCAGGAACUUGAUCUUCUCCAGGCUUUUGAAACAGUUAUGGCCACCGAAAAAAUUGCACAAGAAGAGCUGAAAUAUAUCGCUGGAUAUGUGGCAAAGCAAAUCUCCCAAGAUAAAUCACUUCGCGUGUAUACACCUUCUUUGCCACACAAGCCCAACAACGACUGGAUUUGUCACUUAUCCAAAGGCUAUUUGAAAUAUCCGAGUGAAAAAUUAUUAACAGCUGCUCGAAUAAUUAAUACAGAAUAUGAAAAUUAUCAUGGAGCAACAUUUUCAAGGGAUCCUCAAAUUUUUUAAACUGUAGCAUCGAGGACAAGUGUCAAAUUAGUAGAAAAAGUUGAGAUGAAGGUUCUGCUGUGCUUGAUGCGUACCCGAACCUACAUACGGUUACGGAAUUUGAACCAGCAAUUAUACGCAGGAAGGAAAAGAAGAAAGGAAGAAAGACGCAUGCCAAAGUUCACGAACAUUAGAUAAUGUGUGCAUCAUAGCGUAUAAUGGAGUAGACCAAAAAAAAACCCUUUAAGGAAUAGCGGAUUGUAAGAUGGGAAAAAGUUAAAGGUAGUCACGCGCCCAGAAGAAAACCGGCAUCAUGAAGGAUAAUGAAAUUUUAAAGGUUCACAACCUAUCCAGUCGUUUCGAAUGUCACUUGAUCAUAUAUGAACUGAUAUUUUUGAAUGACAUAUUUAUCGCCUUUAACAUUUCUGUGAUUUUAAUUAGAAAUGAUUGUUUUGAAUGUUUAAU